CCCCCAGCCCGAGAUCGCGAGCCGGGGGUCGCGCCAACCGCCGCACACCCGUAGGAAACUCUCCCCACGAGCAUGCAAGGCAUCUAAACCAAACACCUCAAUUAUGUAAUUCUAAAAUAAUUUAACUGAAUAAAUGCAAUCUUAUUCCAUUGACUAACUCAAGUCAUAAGGUCUCACAAGUCUAAAUACGCAGCGGAAUAAUCAUUUACCAACAUGCAGAAACCUAGUUCUUAAACAAAAGUCCGCCAAUCAUAAUAAAUGUCCAUAAUAACAAAUCAACUCAAAUAACCCUAAUCUAAGAUAACUUGUGCCACAAUCCUUCUAGUCGCUCUCCCAAUUUGAAUC
rnacentral:lncRNA from 1 species